rnacentral:lncRNA from 1 species
GUCAUGUGAAGAAGGACAUAUUUGCUUCCCCUUCCGCCAUGAUUGCGAGUUUCCUGAGAUCUCCCCAGCCCUGCAAAACAGUGAGUCAGUUAAACGUCUUUCCUUUAUAAAUUACCCAGUCUUGGGUAUUUCUUCACAGCAGCAUGAGAACAGACUAAUACACUAGCCUUUUACAGCCUUGUGAGAUUUUUGGAGAAGCAGCACAGUGGUGGGUGAUCUGCUGGGCCUGGGGCUAGGGGAGACUGGCUGCACCUUCCUCUGGCUCCCUCUGCCUCCAGGGUGGGCUCCAGGUCUCCUUCAGGGAAUGCUGCUGGAAACUACCCAGCAAGGCCAAGUCCUGAUUUUACAGAUGGGCACGAUAUGUGUCUAAGGCGCUAUGGCCCGCGAGUGACAGAGCGAGGACUACAGCUUAGGUCGUUAGAGCUUUUUAAUUUUCCAUGCCAACCACCCCCACUGCCUUCAGAGAUGGAGUCAGGCAGAGAGUGCUAAGAGUCAGAGUGGAAAGGAGGACUUCUGCGCUGAGAACACAGAAGGUUCACCACCAGGAAUGCUGCCACAGUCUCAGGAGUAAUUUGCAUCAAUUCAAUAAACGUUUAUCUGGAAACAUCCAAGAGUCAGCCCCUUUCAGGGUGGGAACCUUUAAUAGAAUGGAAUUCUAAAGAACCUGAAGUCUUCAGAAGUGUACAAGACUGGUGUUACUCAAUAUUUAGUGUUGCUUUUCCAAUUUGAAGCCAGGAUGCUGGAGGAAGAUCCAAGAUCCAGGGAAUAACUUUGAGUGAUUGUAACAGGAGAGAAGAGGGACUCCUGGAGGUCCACAUGAGGUUAGUUCUGAAUGGGCUAACGAGUAAAAUAAGAAACAAUUUUGCACAAUACCUUGAAUGCCAUUGUGUGUUCAUGGUGAUCCAAUACUAAGACUUUCCUAUUGGUAAUAGCCUGCAUUUAUAUACCUUCCGAGAUGGUAAGGGUGUCCCUAAAGAGUUGCUUGUGGAUGUUCUAAAUAAGUUUUAAGGUACAAUGAAGUGUCUGGGGCAUUUCUGGCCAACAACACAAGAGAAGGGGUAAUGGUCUAGGCAAGGGCA